GCCUGAUGCAGCAACGCCGCGUGAGGGACGACGGCCUUCGGGUUGUAAACCUCUUUUAGCAGGGAAGAAGCGAAAGUGACGGUACCUGCAGAAAAAGCACCGGCUAACUACGUGCCAGCAGCCGCGGUAAUACGUAGGGUGCAAGCGUUAUCCGGAAUUAUUGGGCGUAAAGAGCUCGUAGGCGGUUUGUCGCGUCUGCUGUGAAAACCCGAGGCUCAACCUCGGGCCUGCAGUGGGUACGGGCAGACUAGAGUGCGGUAGGGGAGAUUGGAAUUCCUGGUGUAGCGGUGGAAUGCGCAGAUAUCAGGAGGAACACCGAUGGCGAAGGCAGAUCUCUGGGCCGUAACUGACGCUGAGGAGCGAAAGGGUGGGGAGCAAACAGGCUUAGAUACCCUGGUAGUCCACCCCGUAAACGUUGGGAACUAGUUGUGGGGUCCAUUCCACGGAUUCCGUGACGCAGCUAACGCAUUAAGUUCCCCGCCUGGGGAGUACGGCCGCAAGGCUAAAACUCAAAGGAAUUGACGGGGACCCGCACAAGCGGCGGAGCAUGCGGAUUAAUUCGAUGCAACGCGAAGAACCUUACCAAGGCUUGACAUAUACGAGAACGCUGCAGAAAUGUAGAACUCUUUGGACACUC
rnacentral:rRNA from 2 species